AGGAAAACAGCCUGUUCAUUUCAUGGAAGGACGUUUUGGAAAAAUAGAUCCAGACCUACAUAGAAAGGUAUGACAGCUACCUUAAUUCAUCCAUCAAGACCUUUCUUCUUAAUUGUGAAUUACCAACUAUAGAUCAUCAGAGAAUUUAAGAAAAUCGACAAACUAAAUGCAAAGAAACAAGCUAAUGAAAUAGAACAAAUGACUAAAGGAAACAGAAGUAAUUCAAUGAACAUAAGAAAACUUAAAAAAUAUUCUAAUUACAUUCUCAGAAAGAUUUGAGUGCACACUACAUACAUUAGAAGAGAAAAAUAAAGGAAAAUCAGACUGCUAUGAAAACCAAGUUUCCCACUUCAUGCUAAAAAGUGGUAACAUUGCAUGUCAGACUGAAGAAAGACACCUGAGUCUAUGUUGAGUUGUGUUUGGCCCCUUGCAAGGUUGUCAUAAAUGAUUCAUUGUUUUGGCUUAAGGGGCUUUCAGCUGGAUGACAAAGCAUAAGGACAAAAAAUAUGAAAUUUGUCAUUAAAUGUCUUCAUCAUUUAGCCUGUUUAAUUGUGCUAAGAUCUUUUAAGAAACAAUGAAUACAGAGAUUUCCAGAUUAUACUUCCAUGAAAGCCUAAAUCUUCUCAGGUAUUCACAGUUUAAAAAAAUUGAAGUAUACCAAAUGAUAUCCAAGUUUACUGUGAAAGCAAAUGGCCCAUAAAAUUUUGCAUUUACAUUUGAAUUUUAAUCUAGAGAGAAGGAGACCACAUAAGUAAAACACAAUCUAUCUCAUAGGCUGAAGCGU
ensembl:lncRNA novel transcript, sense intronic to FAM46A